CUACGGGGUGCAGCAGUGGGGAAUAUUGCACAAUGGGCGCAAGCCUGAUGCAGCCAUGCCGCGUGUAUGAAGAAGGCCUUCGGGUUGUAAAGUACUUUCAGCGGGGAGGAAGGGAGUAAAGUUAAUACCUUUGCUCAUUGACGUUACCCGCAGAAGAAGCACCGGCUAACUCCGUGCCAGCAGCCGCGGUAAUACGGAGGGUGCAAGCGUUAAUCGGAAUUACUGGGCGUAAAGCGCACGCAGGCGGUUUGUUAAGUCAGAUGUGAAAUCCCCGGGCUCAACCUGGGAACUGCAUCUGAUACUGGCAAGCUUGAGUCUCGUAGAGGGGGGUAGAAUUCCAGGUGUAGCGGUGAAAUGCGUAGAGAUCUGGAGGAAUACCGGUGGCGAAGGCGCCCCCCUGGACGAAGACUGACGCUCAGGUGCGAAAGCGUGGGGAGCAAACAGGAUUAGAUACCCGGGUAGUC
rnacentral:rRNA from 1 species